UGGGGAAUAUUGCACAAUGGGCGCAAGCCUGAUGCAGCCAUGCCGCGUGUGUGAAGAAGGCCUUCGGGUUGUAAAGCACUUUCAGCGGGGAGGAAGGCGGUGAGGUUAAUAACCUCACCGAUUGACGUUACCCGCAGAAGAAGCACCGGCUAACUCCGUGCCAGCAGCCGCGGUAAUACGGAGGGUGCAAGCGUUAAUCGGAAUUACUGGGCGUAAAGCGCACGCAGGCGGUCUGUCAAGUCAGAUGUGAAAUCCCCGGGCUCAACCUGGGAACUGCAUCUGAUACUGGCAAGCUUGAGUCUCGUAGAGGGGGGUAGAAUUCCAGGUGUAGCGGUGAAAUGCGUAGCGAUCUGGAGGAAUACCGGUGGCGGAGGCGGCCCCCUGGACAAAGACUGACGCUCAGGUGCGAAAGCGUGGGGAGCAAACAGG
rnacentral:rRNA from 1 species